UAGGGAAUCUUCGGCAAUGGACGAAAGUCUGACCGAGCAACGCCGCGUGAGUGAAGAAGGUUUUCGGAUCGUAAAACUCUGUUGUUAGAGAAGAACAAGGACGUUAGUAACUGAACGUCCCCUGACGGUAUCUAACCAGAAAGCCACGGCUAACUACGUGCCAGCAGCCGCGGUAAUACGUAGGUGGCAAGCGUUGUACGGAUUUAUUGGGCGUAAAGCGAGCGCAGGCGGUUUCUUAAGUCUGAUGUGAAAGCCCCCGGCUCAACCGGGGAGGGUCAUUGGAAACUGGGAGACUUGAGUGCAGAAGAGGAGAGUGGAAUUCCAUGUGUAGCGGUGAAAUGCGUAGAUAUAUGGAGAAACACCAGUGGCGAGGGCGGCUCUCGGGUCUGUAACUGACGCUGGGGCUCGAAAGCGUGGGGAGAAAACAGG
rnacentral:rRNA from 1 species